CCCUAUGGGGUGCGCAGGCAAGCUGCAGAAACCACCUAAAAAGCCGGCCGCCAAGGCUAUUACGAAGACAUACGUCAACAAAUGCGAGCCCGAGAGAUUUAAUGUGCUGGCCGAAAUUGCAACCAGGCCAAGUAAGAGGUACAUGCUAACAAACGGGAUGUUUACAGCAAAGAAGUACCGCUUUUUUCGCCAGAAACAACGUGAAAUCCAGGGUGAAAGGAAUAUUCCAAACAGAGCCAUAAACUGCGAGCCGUUCACAACGCCUAUCAUGGAAUUGGACGCAUUGAGAUAAACCAAGAACGGCUGCAGUGCUAACUGUAUAUCCGCAGAACCAAUUCCAUACGCCGAACCAAGUAAGACCAGCAGUUUAACAUUGCGAUUAAUUUCAUUAGGCGGGAGGGC
rnacentral:rRNA from 1 species